rnacentral:tRNA from 1 species
GGAGAGGUAGCAUAGCCCGGUCUAAUGCGCGCGCCUGGAGAGCGCGUGGGCCUGAACAAGGCCUCGCAGGUUCAAAUCCUGUCCUCUCCG